rnacentral:rRNA from 1 species
CUUGUGCCAGCAGCCGCGGUAAUACAGAGGGUGCAAGCGUUAAUCGGAAUUACUGGGCGUAAAGCGCGCGUAGGUGGUUCGUUAAGUUGGAUGUGAAAUCCCCGGGCUCAACCUGGGAACUGCAUUCAAAACUGACGAGCUAGAGUAUGGUAGAGGGUGGUGGAAUUUCCUGUGUAGCGGUGAAAUGCGUAGAUAUAGGAAGGAACACCAGUGGCGAAGGCGACCACCUGGACUGAUACUGACACUGAGGUGCGAAAGCGUGGGGAGCAAACAG